rnacentral:misc_RNA from 1 species
GAUGAAGAAUGCAGCGAAAUGCGAUAAGUAAUGUGAAUUGCAGAAUUCAGUGAAUCAUCGAAUCUUUGAACGCACAUUGCGCCCGCCAGUAUUCUGGCGGGCAUGCCUGUUCGAGCGUCAUUUCAACCAUCAAGCCCCAGGCUUGUGUUGGGGACCUGCGGCUGCCGCAGGCCCUGAAAACCAGUGGCGGGCUCGCUGUCACACCGGGCGUAGUAGAUUUUAUCUCGCUCAGGGCGUGCUGCGGGUUCCGGCCGUUAAAAAGCCUUUUUUACCCAAGGUUGACCUCGGAUCAGGUAGGAAGACCCGCUGAACUUAAGCAUAUCAAUAAGCGGAGGA